AACGAACGCUGGCGGCAUGCCUAACACAUGCAAGUCGAACGAGACCUUCGGGUCUAGUGGCGCACGGGUGCGUAACGCGUGGGAACCUGCCCUUAGGUUCGGAAUAACUCCCCGAAAGGGGUGCUAAUACCGGAUAAUGUCUUCGGACCAAAGAUUUAUCGCCUUUGGAUGGGCCCGCGUUGGAUUAGCUAGUUGGUAGGGUAAAAGCCUACCAAGGCGACGAUCCAUAGCUGGUCUGAGAGGAUGAUCAGCCACACUGGGACUGGGACACGGCCCAGACUCCUACGGGAGGCAGCAGUAGGGAAUAUUGGACAAUGGGCGAAAGCCUGAUCCAGCAAUGCCGCGUGAGUGAUGAAGGCCUUAGGGUUGUAAAGCUCUUUUACCCGGGAUGAUAAUGACAGUACCGGGAGAAUAAGCUCCGGCUAACUCCGUG
rnacentral:rRNA from 1 species